rnacentral:tRNA from 1 species
GCGCCCGUAGCUCAGUUGGAUAGAGUAUCGGUUUCCGAAGCCGAGGGUCACAGGUUCAAUUCCUGUCGGGCGCGCCA